rnacentral:rRNA from 1 species
UACGUAGGUGGCAAGCGUUGUCCGGAAUUAUUGGGCGUAAAGCGCGCGCAGGCGGUCCUUUAAGUCUGAUGUGAAAGCCCACGGCUCAACCGUGGAGGGUCAUUGGAAACUGGGGGACUUGAGUGCAGGAGAGAAGAGUGGAAUUCCACGUGUAGCGGUGAAAUGCGUAGAGAUGUGGAGGAACACCAGUGGCGAAGGCGGCUUCCUGGCCUGUAACUGACGCUGAGACGCGAAAGCGUGGGGAGCGAACCGG